rnacentral:lncRNA from 1 species
AUAAAGUUUAAUAUUUAUUAUAAGGGUACUUUUAAUUUAGUAUUAAGUGAUUUUUAAUAUGUUAAUUAAUAUUUCAGUAUAUUUAUUUAUACAAUAAAUGAGAGUUUUAUAUAGAAAUUAUAAAUUAUAAUUGGAUAAAUUUGUGCCAGCAUCUGCGGUUAUACUUAUGAUUAAGAUUAAAAGUUUUUGGUUUAAAGUAAAGUAAGACAAUUUCUUUUAAAAGAAAAUUAUAUAGUUGGUUUUUUGGUAAAAUUUUUAGAAUUAGCUUGUUUGUUUAUGUUUUUCUUUAUUGUUAGUACUUUGAAAUUUUGAAAAUAAACUAGGAUUAGAUACCCUAUUAUUUCUUAUUGUAAAAAUUGAUUUUGUUUACCUAAGUAUUAUGAAAAUGACUAAGAUAAUUAGUUAUUGAUUGUUGUUUAAAACUUAAAAGGUUUGGCGGUUUUACAUAUCCAGUUAGGGGAGUUUGUUAAUAUAAUUUGAUAAUCCACAUUUUAAACUUACUUUUUUUUGAAUUAUAUAUAACGGUUUAUAUAUUGCUGUCGGCAGUUUAUAUUUUAAGAGUAAAAGGACUUUUGAAUUUUAGGAUUUAUAUGUCAAGUCAUAAUGUAGCUGAUAAAGAAGGUUUAAUGGACUACUAUAAUUUAUAUUAUUUACUUAUCCGGAUAAUGAAAAUUAAAUUUUGUUAGUAAGGUGGACUUGAUAGUAAACUUGGUUAUUAGUAUGUGUAGUUGAAUGUGGUUUUGUAAAGUGUACAUAUCGCCCGUCACUCUUGUUGUUUAAAUAAGAUAAGUCGUAACAUAGUAGAAGUAAUGGAAAUUGUUUCUGGAAGAGU